AGCAGCCGCGGUAAUUCCAGCUCCAAUAGCGUAUAUUAAAGUUGCUGCAGUUAAAAAGCUCGUAGUUGAAUUUCGGGACCAUCAUGUCGGUCGUGCCUCGGUACGUACUGGCAUCGUCGGUUUCUCCCUUCUGACGAACCAUGAUGUCAUUUAUUUGGUGUCGUGGGGAAUCAGGACUGUUACUUUGAAAAAAUUAGAGUGUUUAAAGCAGGCUCACGCUUGAAUACAUUAGCAUGGAAUAAUGAAAUAGGACGUUUAAUUCUAUUUUGUUGGUUUCUAGGAUCGACGUAAUGAUUAAUAGGGAUAGUUGGGGGCAUUAGUACUCAAUUGUCAGAGGUGAAAUUCUUGGAUUUAUUGAAGACUAACUACUGCGAAAGCAUUUGCCAAGGAUGUUUUCAUUAAUCAAGAACGAAAGUUAGGGGAUCGAAGACGAUCAGAUACCGUCGUAGUCUUAACCAUAAACUAUGCCGACUAGGAAUCGGAUGAUGUUAAUUUUUAAUGACUCGUUUGGCACCUUAAC
rnacentral:rRNA from 1 species